UUGAAGGUUGGGUAACACUAACUGGAGGACCGAACCGACUAAUGUUGAAAAAUUAGCGGAUGACUUGUGGCUGGGGGUGAAAGGCCAAUCAAACCGGGAGAUAGCUGGUUCUCCCCGAAAGCUAUUUAGGUAGCGCCUCGUGAAUUCAUCUCCGGGGGUAGAGCACUGUUUCGGCAAGGGGGUCAUCCCGACUUACCAACCCGAUGCAAACUGCGAAUACCGGAGAAUGUUAUCACGGGAGACACACGGCGGGUGCUAACGUCCGUCGUGAAGAGGGAAACAACCCAGACCGCCAGCUAAGGUCCCAAAGUCAUGGUUAAGUGGGAAACGAUGUGGGAAGGCCCAGACAGCCAGGAUGUUGGCUUAGAAGCAGCCAUCAUUUAAAGAAAGCGUAAUAGCUCACUGGUCGAGUCGGCCUGCGCGGAAGAUGUAACGGGGCUAAACCAUGCACCGAAGCUGCGGCAGCGACGCUGAUGCGUUGUUGGGUAGGGGAGCGUUCUGUAAGCCUGUGAAGGUGCGCUGUGAGGCAUGCUGGAGGUAUCAGAAGUGCGAAUGCUGACAUAAGUAACGAUAAAGCGGGUGAAAAGCCCGCUCGCCGGAAGACCAAGGGUUCCUGUCCAACGUUAAUCGGGGCAGGGUGAGUCGACCCCUAAGGCGAGGCCGAAAGGCGUAGUCGAUGGGAAACAGGUUAAUAUUCCUGUACUUGGUGUUACUGCGAAGGGGGGACGGAGAAGGCUAUGUUGGCCGGGCGACGGUUGUCCCGGUUUAAGCGUGUAGGCUGGUUUUCCAGGCAAAUCCGGAAAAUCAAGGCUGAGGCGUGAUGACGAGGUACUACGGUGCUGAAGCAACAAAUGCCCUGCUUCCAGGAAAAGCCUCUAAGCAUCAGGUAACAUCAAAUCGUACCCCAAACCGACACAGGUGGUCAGGUAGAGAAUACCAAGGCGCUUGAGAGAACUCGGGUGAAGGAACUAGGCAAAAUGGUGCCGUAACUUCGGGAGAAGGCACGCUGAUAUGUAGGUGAAGUCCCUCGCGGAUGGAGCUGAAAUCAGUCGAAGAUACCAGCUGGCUGCAACUGUUUAUUAAAAACACAGCACUGUGCAAACACGAAAGUGGACGUAUACGGUGUGACGCCUGCCCGGUGCCGGAAGGUUAAUUGAUGGGGUCAGCGCAAGCGAAGCUCUUGAUCGAAGCCCCGGUAAACGGCGGCCGUAACUAUAACGGUCCUAAGG
rnacentral:rRNA from 1 species